rnacentral:rRNA from 1 species
GACGAAGGGGGCUAGCGUUGUUCGGAAUUACUGGGCGUAAAGCGCGUGUAGGCGGUUGCCCAAGUCGGGUGUGAAAGCCUUGAGCUCAACUCAAGAAAUGCAUUCGGUACUGGGUGACUAGAGGACCGGAGAGGAUAGUGGAAUUCCCAGUGUAGUGGUGAAAUACGUAGAGAUUGGGAAGAACACCAGUGGCGAAGGCGGCUAUCUGGACGGUUUCUGACGCUAAGACGCGAAAGCGUGGGGAGCAAACAGG